rnacentral:rRNA from 1 species
ACCAUUGAAGCCAGUCGUACCUUCCGGUAAUCAGCCUUUCGGGUGCGAUUCUGUGGAGUUUGAGGAGCUUAACACCUUCAUGCUUUGCAUAUUCGUGCUCUUGGGUGUACUUGCCCGUGUGGUUGGUUAACAUCAAUUUCGGGCACCAUAAAAUGGCUGGAGGAAUGUAGCUUCGAUCUUGUAUUGAAGUGUUAUAGCCUUCGGUAGAUGUGGUGAUCGAGAUUGAGGAUUGCAACGGAUACCUUUCGGGGCUACCUGUCUGAUCUCUGAUCGUUGCUUUGGUGCUGAAAGCGUGCUUAUAGUUAUCAAAGUCGAUGGUCAAUAGGUUAGAAUGGGUUAAAUUCGUUAAGGAUGUUGACGUAA